rnacentral:rRNA from 1 species
GGUUAAGCGACUAAGCGUACACGGUGGAUGCCCUGGCAGUCAGAGGCGAUGAAGGACGUGCUAAUCUGCGAUAAGCGUCGGUAAGGUGAUAUGAACCGUUAUAACCGGCGAUUUCCGAAUGGGGAAACCCAGUGUGUUUCGACACACUAUCAUUAACUGAAUCCAUAGGUUAAUGAGGCGAACCGGGGGAACUGAAACAUCUAAGUACCCCGAGGAAAAGAAAUCAACCGAGAUUCCCCCAGUAGCGGCGAGCGAACGGGGAGCAGCCCAGAGCCUGAAUCAGUGUGUGUGUUAGUGGAAGCGUCUGGAAAGGCGCGCGAUACAGGGUGACAGCCCCGUACACAAAAAUGCACAUGCUGUGAGCUCGAUGAGUAGGGCGGGACACGUGGUAUCCUGUCUGAAUAUGGGGGGACCAUCCUCCAAGGCUAAAUACUCCUGACUGACCGAUAGUGAACCAGUACCGUGAGGGAAAGGCGAAAAGAACCCCGGCGAGGGGAGUGAAAAAGAACCUGAAACCGUGUACGUACAAGCAGUGGGAGCACAGAGCAAUCUGUGUGACUGCGUACCUUUUGUAUAAUGGGUCAGCGACUUAUAUUCUGUAGCAAGGUUAACCGAAUAGGGGAGCCGAAGGGAAACCGAGUCUUAACUGGGCGUUAAGUUGCAGGGUAUAGACCCGAAACCCGGUGAUCUAGCCAUGGGCAGGUUGAAGGUUGGGUAACACUAACUGGAGGACCGAACCGACUAAUGUUGAAAAAUUAGCGGAUGACUUGUGGCUGGGGGUGAAAGGCCAAUCAAACCGGGAGAUAGCUGGUUCUCCCCGAAAGCUAUUUAGGUAGCGCCUCGUGAAUUCAUCUCCGGGGGUAGAGCACUGUUUCGGCAAGGGGGUCAUCCCGACUUACCAACCCGAUGCAAACUACGAAUACCGGAGAAUGUUAUCACGGGAGACACACGGCGGGUGCUAACGUCCGUCGUGAAGAGGGAAACAACCCAGACCGCCAGCUAAGGUCCCAAAGUCAUGGUUAAGUGGGAAACGAUGUGGGAAGGCCCAGACAGCCAGGAUGUUGGCUUAGAAGCAGCCAUCAUUUAAAGAAAGCGUAAUAGCUCACUGGUCGAGUCGGCCUGCGCGGAAGAUGUAACGGGGCUAAACCAUGCACCGAAGCUGCGGCAGCGACGCUGAUGCGUUGUUGGGUAGGGGAGCGUUCUGUAAGCCUGCGAAGGUGUGCUGUGAGGCAUGCUGGAGGUAUCAGAAGUGCGAAUGCUGACAUAAGUAACGAUAAAGCGGGUGAAAAGCCCGCUCGCCGGAAGACCAAGGGUUCCUGUCCAACGUUAAUCGGGGCAGGGUGAGUCGACCCCUAAGGCGAGGCCGAAAGGCGUAGUCGAUGGGAAACAGGUUAAUAUUCCUGUACUUGGUGUUACUGCGAAGGGGGGACGGAGAAGGCUAUGUUGGCCGGGCGACGGUUGUCCCGGUUUAAGCGUGUAGGCUGGUUUUCCAGGCAAAUCCGGAAAAUCAAGGCUGAGGCGUGAUGACGAGGCACUACGGUGCUGAAGCAACAAAUGCCCUGCUUCCAGGAAAAGCCUCUAAGCAUCAGGUAACAUCAAAUCGUACCCCAAACCGACACAGGUGGUCAGGUAGAGAAUACCAAGGCGCUUGAGAGAACUCGGGUGAAGGAACUAGGCAAAAUGGUGCCGUAACUUCGGGAGAAGGCACGCUGAUAUGUAGGUGAAGUCCCUCGCGGAUGGAGCUGAAAUCAGUCGAAGAUACCAGCUGGCUGCAACUGUUUAUUAAAAACACAGCACUGUGCAAACACGAAAGUGGACGUAUACGGUGUGACGCCUGCCCGGUGCCGGAAGGUUAAUUGAUGGGGUUAGCGCAAGCGAAGCUCUUGAUCGAAGCCCCGGUAAACGGCGGCCGUAACUAUAACGGUCCUAAGGUAGCGAAAUUCCUUGUCGGGUAAGUUCCGACCUGCACGAAUGGCGUAAUGAUGGCCAGGCUGUCUCCACCCGAGACUCAGUGAAAUUGAACUCGCUGUGAAGAUGCAGUGUACCCGCGGCAAGACGGAAAGACCCCGUGAACCUUUACUAUAGCUUGACACUGAACAUUGAGCCUUGAUGUGUAGGAUAGGUGGGAGGCUUUGAAGUGUGGACGCCAGUCUGCAUGGAGCCGACCUUGAAAUACCACCCUUUAAUGUUUGAUGUUCUAACGUGGACCCGUAAUCCGGGUUGCGGACAGUGUCUGGUGGGUAGUUUGACUGGGGCGGUCUCCUCCUAAAGAGUAACGGAGGAGCACGAAGGUUGGCUAAUCCUGGUCGGACAUCAGGAGGUUAGUGCAAUGGCAUAAGCCAGCUUGACUGCGAGCGUGACGGCGCGAGCAGGUGCGAAAGCAGGUCAUAGUGAUCCGGUGGUUCUGAAUGGAAGGGCCAUCGCUCAACGGAUAAAAGGUACUCCGGGGAUAACAGGCUGAUACCGCCCAAGAGUUCAUAUCGACGGCGGUGUUUGGCACCUCGAUGUCGGCUCAUCACAUCCUGGGGCUGAAGUAGGUCCCAAGGGUAUGGCUGUUCGCCAUUUAAAGUGGUACGCGAGCUGGGUUUAGAACGUCGUGAGACAGUUCGGUCCCUAUCUGCCGUGGGCGCUGGAGAAUUGAGGGGGGCUGCUCCUAGUACGAGAGGACCGGAGUGGACGCAUCACUGGUGUUCGGGUUGUCAUGCCAAUGGCACUGCCCGGUAGCUAAAUGCGGAAGAGAUAAGUGCUGAAAGCAUCUAAGCACGAAACUUGCCCCGAGAUGAGUUCUCCCUGACUCCUUGAGAGUCCUGAAGGAACGUUGAAGACGACGACGUUGAUAGGCCGGGUGUGUAAGCGCAGCGAUGCGUUGAGCUAACCGGUACUAAUGAACCGUGAGG